rnacentral:rRNA from 1 species
UACAGAGACUGCAAGCGUUAUUCGGAUUCACUGGGCGUAAAGGGUGCGCAGGCGGCCGGGUGUGUCAGAUGUGAAAUCCCGAGGCUUAACCUCGGAACUGCGUCUGAAACUACUCGGCUAGAGUAUUGGAGAGGGUAGCGGAAUUCACGGUGUAGCAGUGAAAUGCGUAGAUAUCGUGAGGAACACCAGAGGCGAAGGCGGCUACCUGGACAAUUACUGACGCUCAGGCACGAAAGCGUGGGGAGCAAAAGGG